UACAGAGGAUGCAAGCGUUAUCCGGAAUGAUUGGGCGUAAAGCGUCUGUAGGUGGCUUUUUAAGUCCGCCGUCAAAUCCCAGGGCUCAACUCUGGACAGGCGGUGGAAACUACCAAGCUGGAGUACGGUAGGGGCAGAGGGAAUUUCCGGUGGAGCGGUGAAAUGCGUAGAGAUCGGAAAGAACACCAACGGCGAAGGCGGCAGCCUGGCCUGUAAAUGACGCUGAGACGCGAAAGCGUGGGGAGCGAACCGG
rnacentral:rRNA from 1 species